ensembl:lncRNA
AUUUUUUUGUAGUGUAACUUUUUUCGCACUGAAAUACAAACCGAAUGUCGGGUUGAUAAUGCUUCCCUGUUAAUAUGUUGUAUCAGAUUACCUCCUACAUCGGGGCAAAAUCGGCGAUCAACAGGCAAAGACCCCACAAGAAGUAACAUCUUUUUGGCAUGGAUGAGGAAGGGUACCACACACCCAUCUGGAGAUAUUUACACCCCUUCUCUCUCAGGAAUGAUCUGGACAUAUGUUAAUAGGAGUACAGCAUUUUGAAACACUUUGAUUACAAUAUAGAGAUUAAUAACAGAGGGGGAUCUGAGAAUGCAGGGAUUCCAGCAGGGUGUGAAUUGAAGUAGUCAAAUCUGGAGCUGAGAAGGGCUUGAAUGUAAAUGACGUGAUCAUCUCGGAUUAUCUAAUAUCUGAGAAAGGGCAG